GUUCGUUCUCCCAUCAUGAGGAAAGGGGGAAACCCUAACCCUAGUUGUAAAAUCAAAAGGAUGACUGAUCUUCUGCGGCAUGAAGUCACCGAUUUUAUUAAAAAGUUCAGAUGUUUACAAUUUCGGAAUUAGAUGAGCAUAUAAAGAAAUUAUGCUGCGAAUGAGGCUACACUCGUCAAUCGAGGUG